CCUACGUGCAGCUGCAGUGGGGAAUAUUGGACAAUGGGCGAAAGCCUGAUCCAGCCAUGCCGCGUGUGUGAAGAAGGCCUUCGGGUUGUAAAGCACUUUCAGUGGGGAAGAAAGCCUUGGGGCUAAUACCCUCGAGGAAGGACAUCACCCACAGAAGAAGCACCGGCUAACUCCGUGCCAGCAGCCGCGGUAAUACGGAGGGUGCGAGCGUUAAUCGGAAUUACUGGGCGUAAAGCGCGCGUAGGCGGUCUGAUAAGCCGGUUGUGAAAGCCCCGGGCUCAACCUGGGAACGGCAUCCGGAACUGUCAGGCUAGAGUGCAGGAGAGGAAGGUAGAAUUCCCGGUGUAGCGGUGAAAUGCGUAGAGAUCGGGAGGAAUACCAGUGGCGAAGGCGGCCUUCUGGACUGACACUGACGCUGAGGUGCGAAAGCGUGGGUAGCAAACAGGAUUAGAUACCCGAGUAGUC
rnacentral:rRNA from 1 species